CCCCUUUCGUUGAGCCACCUUCACGUCGGUUAGGGGUGUCAGUACCUGUAAGUUUGCAGGGAAGCCAGGAGCUCA
rnacentral:ribozyme from 1 species